CGUGUAGGCGGCUUUGCAAGUCGGGUGUGAAAGCCCGCAGCUCAACUGCGAAAUGGCACUGAAAACUACCCUGCUGGAGGAGUGGAGGGGGGACUGGAAUUCUCGGUGUAGCAGUGAAAUGCGUAGAGAUCGAGAGGAACACCAGUGGCGAAGGCGAGUCCCUGGACACUACCUGACACUGAGGCACGAAAGCCAGGGGAGCAAACA
rnacentral:rRNA from 1 species